rnacentral:rRNA from 1 species
GACGAACGCUGGCGGCGUGCCUAAUACAUGCAAGUAGAACGCACAGUUUAUACCGUAGCUUGCUACACCAUAGACUGUGAGUUGCGAACGGGUGAGUAACGCGUAGGUAACCUGCCUGGUAGCGGGGGAUAACUAUUGGAAACGAUAGCUAAUACCGCAUAAUAUUAAUUAUUGCAUGAUAAUUAAUUGAAAGGUGCAAUUGCACCACUACCAGAUGGACCUGCGUUGUAUUAGCUAGUAGGUGAGGUAACGGCUCACCUAGGCGACGAUACAUAGCCGACCUGAGAGGGUGAUCGGCCACACUGGGACUGAGACACGGCCCAGACUCCUACGGGAGGCAGCAGUAGGGAAUCUUCGGCAAUGGACGAAAGUCUGACCGAGCAACGCCGCGUGAGUGAAGAAGGUUUUCGGAUCGUAAAGCUCUAUUGUAAGAGAAGAACGGGUGUGAGAGUGGAAAGUUCACACUGUGACGGUAUCUUACCAGAAAGGGACGGCUAACUACGUG